rnacentral:rRNA from 1 species
UACAGAGGGUGCGAGCGUUGUCCGGAAUCACUGGGCGUAAAGGGCGCGUAGGUGGCGCGACAAGUCCGUGGUGAAAGCUCGUCGCUUAACGACGAGUCGGCCAUCGAAACUGCAGGGCUCGAGCACUGUAGGGGCAGAUGGAAUUCCGGGUGUAGCGGUGGAAUGCGUAGAGAUCCGGAAGAACACCAGUGGCGAAGGCGGUCUGCUGGGCAGUAGCUGACACUGAGGCGCGACAGCGUGGGGAGCAAACAGG